UACGGCCACAUCACGUUGAAACACUGGUUUCCGUAGAAUCACCGAAGUUAAGUAACGUCGAUCCUGGUCAGUACUUAGAUGGGUGACCGCUUGGGUAAUACCAGGUGCUGUAA